UACGUAGGGUGCAAGCGUUGUCCGGAAUUAUUGGGCGUAAAGAGCUCGUAGGUGGUUCGUCGCGUCUGCUGUGAAAGUCCGAGGCUUAACCUCGGAUCUGCAGUGGGUACGGGCGGACUAGAGUGCGGUAGAGGAGAUCGGAAUUCCUGGUGUAGCGGUGGAAUGCGCAGAUAUCAGGAGGAACACCGGUGGCGAAGGCGGAUCUCUGGGCCGUAACUGACGCUGAGGAGCGAAAGCAUGGGGAGCGAACAGG
rnacentral:rRNA from 3 species